AUUGAACGCUGGCGGCAUGCCUUACACAUGCAAGUCGAACGGCAGCACGGGUGCUUGCACCUGGUGGCGAGUGGCGAACGGGUGAGUAAUACAUCGGAACGUACCUUAUCGUGGGGGAUAACGCAGCGAAAGUUGCGCUAAUACCGCAUACGCCCUGAGGGGGAAAGCGGGGGACCGUAAGGCCUCGCGCGAUUAGAGCGGCCGAUGUCUGAUUAGCUUGUUGGUGAGGUAAAGGCUCACCAAGGCGACGAUCAGUAGCUGGUCUGAGAGGACGAUCAGCCACACUGGGACUGAGACACGGCCCAGACUCCUACGGGAGGCAGCAGUGGGGAAUUUUGGACAAUGGGCGCAAGCCUGAUCCAGCAAUGCCGCGUGUGCGAAGAAGGCCUUCGGGUUGUAAGGCACUUUUGUCAGGAAAGAAAACCAUUGGGUUAAUACCCUGGUGGGAUGACGGUACCUGAAGAAUAAGCACCGGCUAACUACGUGCCAGCAGCCGCCUAAG
rnacentral:rRNA from 1 species